UACGUAGGCAGCGAGCGUUGUUCGGAAUUACUGGGCGUAAAGAGUGUGUAGGCGGUGCUCUAAGUUCGGUGUGAAAUCUCCUGGCUCAACUGGGAGGGUGCGCCGGAAACUGGAGUGCUUGAGCGUGGGAGAGGAAAGCGGAAUUCCUGGUGUAGCGGUGAAAUGCAUAGAUAUCAGGAGGAACACCUGUGGUGUAGACGCUUUCUGGACCAUAGCUGACGCUGAGACACGAAAGCGUGGGUAGCAAACAGG
rnacentral:rRNA from 1 species